ACUUGUUCAGUCUUAAUGUGAAAAGGAAUUAGAUUAAGGAGAGCGUUCAAAAACACAGAAAUUAAAUAAAAGAUGAAAUAUAUGUAUAGUAAUGAAAGCAAUGCUCUUUUCCAUUUGUUGAAUAUUGUAUUGUUAGAAUUUUGUUUUUAUAAAUACCAUUAGGCUUUCAAAAAUCUCUCCUAGAAGCUAUGCAUUCUCCCUCACCCCCACCAAACGAGUUCUUUAGGAAUUCCACACAGCAACAGGUCUAGUGCAGCUCCCUUUAACAGCUUUUUUGGAGUGUUUAUAAUGAGUCAGACUAGUCUAUAUUUCAGCUCCAGAAAUACAGAGUGGGACAUCAUUAGCUGCAUUCACUCAGGUUUUACUUAAUGUACUAGUCAUCACUAAGUGUUUAAAGGAUACUGUCAGUAAAUGCUGGCUACCUCCCUUUCACUCGCUACUCAUUUCUAGCUACAUGCAAGACUCACAAAGCAAACCUGUUACUGUUAAUCAUUGCUAAACCACUGCUGCCAAUGCAAGUUAAAAUAAUAUCCUUCACUUUAUAGAUGCACAAAUUGGAUCAGAUAGAAAUCUGAAAUUGCCAUUGAGACCAUACAGACUGUUUCUUACCAUGUACCUGCAGCAAACACAUGUACAUUUGCAGUUUUCUGUCACUGUUAGCUGUUGUGGUUAUGUGACUGAAUGUGACUGAGAUUACAGGCAAAACCACAAGGAGAAAUGUUAGCAUCUACAUAGCAGUGGCCUUUCGUAGUUACAUAUUUUUAAUGUUGUGAAAUUAUUUUUGUAAAAUGCAUAGUUUUAAAAUACAUAUUCUUCAGGGAUGAAGCCAAGUUAAGAACGGUUUGUACAACUACUAGUUUCCACCCUCAGGCCACUAUGUUGCUCUCAGAGACCAACCAAAAUACUGCAUUGCAAACUGACUGCCAAAAUGAUCUGAGGUUUUUCUGGUUGCCUUAAGCAGAGUUGUGGUUUUCUGGUUUUUUGUUUUGGUGUGAAGGGGCUUUUCCAUUUAAAUUUUCCUAAUUGGGAUAGUUGCAUUAUUUCAGCUCACUCCUUUUGCUUAGAAUUGCCUGCAGAGUUUAUAUGGUCAUAGGUCUUCGGUUCAUACAUAGAAUAUUUGUUUCUUGGUCCUGGAAACUGGGGAGAAAAAAAAAAACUAAAAUGCUGAAGUACGACUAAAAACAUUUUAAAAAACAACAUAGUAGGCUUUAACUUCUCUUGAGGAGGCUGUGAAGUAGAUCUAAUGAUGCUUGAUUCAUAGUAAUCUAUUCAAAAGCACGUCUCCAGAAAAUCCUGUAGCAAUGUUUUGUACAACUCAAACAACAAUUUUAUGUCACAGCUGAGCACUCUAUGUGGAGACUUGCAAAAUAUUUGUAAGUCAGAGUUAAAAAAACAGUGGCAACUCUGCUAACCAACCAGCCAUUUGUCCCAGGAGAGCAGGCAAACGGUAGGAGGAAAAGAGGAACUAAGAGUACUUGUGGGGUAGCUCUUUCAUCACAUGAUGUAGCUAUAGCCUGAUGGUUGCACAUCUUUUCUCCAUCACUUAGACAAUGUACUGUUAUUAUUGCGUACCGGCACUAAAAAUAGUAAAUGUUUUGUGUUUUCUUCUCAAUGUAAUGUGCAUAGUCCCUAAACAUGACUUCAGUGCUUUUUUCCUGUUUUAAGAUCAUUAAUGUGAUCAGAGUUUUACACCAUCAAAAACUAAAUUAACUCAAUGCCUGAACAUACAUUUGCUCAAUUUUCUUGAGUUUUGCCAUGUGCACUUGUUUUCAGUCAUACUGCAAAAUAUUUUUGUAAUGUUCUGCCUGCUGCUGUUGAAUCUUAGACGUCAGUCCAAUGUAAAAGCUUUACUGAAGAAGACUUGGCUAAAGAAGUAUGAGUAGUAUUGUGGCAAAUUCUGAAAAUUCAAAUAAAAAAAGCUCUUGAGUACUUAAGAGUUAUGCUGAACAAAUAGUGCUACAGAGUUUGGAUUAAAAACUCUUACAUUUGUGCAGAGACGUCAGCCAGUUAGAAAUUAUUUUCUCCGACUCUGGAAUGACUGACCUUUCUGCUCCAGUUAUGGGUGCUGCUUAAUACAGA